GUGGGGAAUAUUGGACAAUGGGCGAAAGCCUGAUCCAGCCAUGCCGCGUGUGUGAAGAAGGUCUUCGGAUUGUAAAGCACUUUAAGUUGGGAGGAAGGGUAGUAACCUAAUACGUUGCUACUUUGACGUUACCGACAGAAUAAGCACCGGCUAACUUCGUGCCAGCAGCCGCGGUAAUACGAAGGGUGCAAGCGUUAAUCGGAAUUACUGGGCGUAAAGCGCGCGUAGGUGGUUCAGUAAGUUGGAAGUGAAAUCCCCGGGCUCAACCUGGGAACUGCCUCCAAAACUGCAUGACUAGAGUACGGUAGAGGGUAGUGGAAUUUCCUGUGUAGCGGUGAAAUGCGUAGAUAUAGGAAGGAACACCAGUGGCGAAGGCGACUACCUGGACGGAUACUGACACUGAGGUGCGAAAGCGUGGGGAGCAAACAGGAUUAGAUACCCUAGUAGUCC
rnacentral:rRNA from 1 species